AGUUUCUCUCCCGGGCAGCCCGAAACUUUCAUCCCUUCUCGGUUCUCGAUGGGCUUUCAGGAAUCCCGAGAAGUUGCUGAUUGCUCCCGGCUUCAGUUCUUUCUGCGCUUCAGUCCCGGUGCCGCCUCCUCUGAAGCCUGGUGGGUUCUGCCCGAGGCCAGUGCCAGGGCCCCAGCGUUGAAAGAGCCCGAAGCAGGAAGGCGGAGGAGUCGCGCCGCCCAGCGGAGAACCCGCCAAAGCACAGACUCUUAGUCACCAUCAUGAAUAUUGGUCAUCACUCCUUGGCACAUUGGACUGUACAGGUGGCUCCACCGAGAUGGCCUUCCAACCACUGUCUGCGAUGGACAGUCUCAUUACGGAAGCGGAUCCGGAAGAAAGUGGGCCAGGGUCUUUAGCUCCGUACUCGUCCCUCCUGGUUCUACCACCAAGACGGAGUGGGGAUGUUCCAGGCGUAGACCUGAUGGCAUCCCUACCUGAGGUCCAGCUCCUCACCAUUAAUCUUGCUUGCCUCUGAUGCCACCCGGGGUGCAAUCAGAGUAACCUUCCGGAAUGCCUCCCAAGCUAAGACUGCUGCGGGAAACAUUUGUCACCUGAGUGCCUGUGCAUGACCCUGAGUAUAUUCCUGACCACAAUAAAGACUGAUAUGAAC
ensembl:lncRNA